GUUGGUGAAUGCAGCUCUUUUUCUCCCUUCGUUAACCACUUAGCAACAAUUUAUUUAUUUAUUUAUUUAUUUAAAGUGACAGAACUGCAAAGUAGAAAGUAAAAAUGAGAAGAGAAAAAAGAAGGAGAAAGGAACCUAACAGCAAUGUCUGUCUGCAAUGGUAACACUUGCAUCAACAGGGAAAGCUGAAAGCCAGGAAGAUCGGUAAGAUGGAGAGAUUGGUGAAGGCACGGUGAUUCUAAGACUGAUGCGUUAAGAUUUCUAUUCCCAGCCAGCUCUACUCUGGAUGUGACUAAAAUGGAUGUGAGAGGACUUCUCAUACCUUGAACUGUUUAGCUAUUCAGCUCAGGAACUAUAUCUUGGUUUUGCCAUUCAUUGCUAUGGAACAGAUAUCUUCUCUGGAGAAGAUGGCACAGUACCUUCCCCUGAGCAGGUGCUGGAGGACUUUGGAAGUAGACGUAAUCCGUAACCAAGUUGGAUAUAACUAUCAUCUGCCCAAGGCAUCUAAUGUUAGCGAUCUGAACCACAGCGCUUUCCCUGGGAGUGCCAGGUGCAGAGAAGAUGGUGUGCACCAAACUUUUUCCCUUGAACAACCUGCAGGAAAUUCACAGCAAACUUUCUUUCCAUGAUGAUGGAGAACAUUUCCACAUUCUGUACUGCUAUCAUACCAGUGAUAAUAUAUUAACACAAUAAUGUCUUCCAUACUCACUUGAUAAUGUAACUUUUCUUCCCUCCCAAGCAAUCAUGCCCAUUUUCAUCAACUAAUCUAUUUCUUGACAACCUACGCUCAUUAGAACAGCUGAGAUUUUCCUGCCUCCUGAACUAGGAUCUACAGGACCUGUCUGAAAACUGAGUAUUGCUUUUUUGAACAGUGGAACAGCCAAAAUCCAGACAGUUCUGUGCUUAAAGAACUAAGAAUGUACUAUUAAAGAAGGUGAGAGGAUUUAAAAGCAGUCGGUAUCACAGCCGUGAAUGAGUGACUUCCUUGAACAUCUACAUGUACUGCACGAAAGAUGGGCAACCAAAAUGGCAUUUGCUAAACUUCCUUAAUUUUUUAUUUUAAUGCUUUUCUUCAC
ensembl:lncRNA